GUGAGUUAAGGCAGUGGUGGGAAAAAGAAAAAAACUUAGAUAAAAGAGAAAACUGUAUGCCUCAUCCGAGGAGCUACUAUAGCAGUAGCAAUUUCACCAUAACCCACAAGACUUGCUCCCAAGAUGGCGGCGCGGCCACACGCAGCGGCUUCUCUCUGUCCCGACAGAACGGUGUUUUCGUGUUUUUUGUCUUGUGGGUCGCAGUGUUUUUGCACGUUGUCGUCACGUCUACCUGUCUGUAAGCGCAAAUACAGUCGCGAGUUUCUGCUCGAUGUCGGCAGAACCGCAUUUUUACAGUUAAACUCCGCGCAAGCGGAACAGCUGCGGGAUCUCGAUCUGCUACGGAGGCCUUCACCAUCAUCGACUCCCACUACUGCAUCUCGCCCGCAGCGGAGGCGCCACAAGCGGCGUGAGAGGAAGCAGAAGAGGGGGAAGCGCGGAGGUAUCCGGGCUAGGCUAACGGCUAACCCACACAAGCCAUCUGUCCCCACCAUCGUACUGGCUAACGUACGCUCGUUGGACAAUAAACUGGACUACAUUCGUUUACUACGCUCAACUCAGAGGACUGUAAGAGGUAGGCUAACGGCUAACCCACACAAGCCAUCUAUCCCCACCAUCGUACUGGCUAACGUAUGCUCUUUGGACAAUAAACUGGACUACAUCCGAUUACUACGUUCAACUCAAAGGACUGUAAGAGACUGUUGUGUUUUUGUAUUCACGGAAACAUGGCUCAGCGACAGCGUUCCGGACUGCGCCAUUCAGCUCGACCAGCUGACGUGCUAUCGAGCAGACAGAGCUCUCGUCGCGGGAGGAAAAACCCGCGGCGGCGGGCUUUGUGUUUACAUCAAUGACGCGUGGUGCCGCGAUGCUGUUGUGAUCUGCAAACACUGCUCACCCCUGGUGGAGUUUAUGAUUAUUAAGUGCCGGCCGUUCUAUCUGCCGAGGGAAUAUACUGCCAUACUGCUCGUUUCGGUUUACAUUCCUCCCGAACAACAACAACAGCAACAGGAACGAUGCACUAAAUGAACUGUACCAGCACAUCAGUGAGCAGCAGACAGCACACCCUGAUGCUUUUCUCACCA
rnacentral:lncRNA from 1 species